rnacentral:rRNA from 1 species
UACGUAGGGUGCGAGCGUUAAUCGGAAUUACUGGGCGUAAAGCGUGCGCAGGCGGUUUUGUAAGCCAGAUGUGAAAUCCCCGGGCUUAACCUGGGAAUGGCAUUUGGGACUGCAAGGCUGGAGUUUGGCAGAGGAGACUGGAAUUCCUGGUGUAGCAGUGAAAUGCGUAGAUAUCAGGAGGAAUACCGAUGGCGAAGGCAGGUCUCUGGGCUAUAACUGACGCUCAUGCACGAAAGCGUGGGGGAGCAAACAGG